UACGUAGGGUGCGAGCGUUAAUCGGAAUUACUGGGCGUAAAGCGUGCGCAGGCGGUUUUGUAAGCCAGAUGUGAAAUCCCCGGGCUUAACCUGGGAAUGGCAUUUGGGACUGCAAGGCUGGAGUGUGGCAGAGGAGACUGGAAUUCCCGGUGUAGCAGUGAAAUGCGUAGAUAUCGGGAGGAACACCAGUGGCGAAGGCGGUUGCCUGGGGCUUUGCUGACGCUGAGGCGCGAAAGCGUGGGGAGCGAUCCGG
rnacentral:rRNA from 1 species